rnacentral:rRNA from 1 species
UACGUAGGGGGCAAGCGUUAUCCGGAUUUACUGGGUGUAAAGGGAGCGUAGGCGGCGGAGCAAGUCAGAAGUGAAAGCCCGGGGCUCAACCUCGGGACGGCUUUUGAAACUGCCCUGCUUGAUUUCAGGAGAGGUAAGCGGAAUUCCUAGUGUAGCGGUGAAAUGCGUAGAUAUUAGGAGGAACACCAGUGGCGAAGGCGGCUUACUGGACUGACAAUGACGCUGAGGCUCGAAAGCGUGGGGAGCAAACAGG